AGCACUGUUGGCUCAGUGGUUAGCACUGUUGCUUCACAGCAAGAAGGCCCUGGGUUCGAAUCCCGGCUGUCCCA
rnacentral:tRNA from 1 species